rnacentral:rRNA from 1 species
CUGCAACUCGCCUACAUGAAGUCGGAAUUGCUAGUAAUCGCGGAUCAGCAUGCCGCGGUGAAUACGUUCCCGGGCCUUGUACACACCGCCCGUCACACCAUGGGAGUCGGUAACACCCGAAGCCUGUAGUCUAACCGCAAGGGGGACGCAGUCGAAGGUGGGAUUNAUGACUGGGGUGAAGUCGUAACAAGGUAUC